rnacentral:rRNA from 1 species
ACGUGAUCUGAGUUCAGACCGGAGUAAUCCAGGUCAGUUUCUAUCUAUAAGGAGCUUUUUCUAGUACGAAAGGACCGAAAAAACAUGGCCUAUGCAUGAUACAAGCCAUAUUUAAUAAUUUAUGAUUAAAACUCAAUAAAUACUUAACCUAUUACCCGACUCUAAACAAGAGUA